rnacentral:pre_miRNA from 1 species
AUACUACUCCCUCUGUCCUAAAAUUCUUGUCUUAGAUUUGUCUAAAUAUGGAUGUAUCAAGUCACGUUUUAGUAUUAGAUACAUCCAUAUCUAGACAAAUUUAAGACAAAAAUUUUGGGACGGAGGGAGUACUAA